rnacentral:rRNA from 1 species
CCUACGGGAGGCAGCAGUGGGGAAUUUUGGACAAUGGGCGCAAGCCUGAUCCAGCAAUGCCGCGUGCAGGAUGAAGGCCUUCGGGUUGUAAACUGCUUUUGUACGGAGCGAAACGGUCUGCUUUAAUACAGUGGGCUAAUGACGGUACCGUAAGAAUAAGCACCGGCUAACUACGUGCCAGCAGCCGCGGUAAUACGUAGGGUGCGAGCGUUAAUCGGAAUUACUGGGCGUAAAGCGUGCGCAGGCGGUUAUAUAAGACAGAUGUGAAAUCCCCGGGCUCAACCUGGGACCUGCAUUUGUGACUGUAUAGCUAGAGUACGGUAGAGGGGGAUGGAAUUCCGCGUGUAGCAGUGAAAUGCGUAGAUAUGCGGAGGAACACCGAUGGCGAAGGCAAUCCCCUGGACCUGUACUGACGCUCAUGCACGAAAGCGUGGGGAGCAAACAGGAUUAGAUACCCUGGUAGUCCACGCCCUAAACGAUGUCAACUGGUUGUUGGGUCUUCACUGACUCAGUAACGAAGCUAACGCGUGAAGUUGACCGCCUGGGGAGUACGGCCGCAAGGUUGAAACGUUAAAGGAAUUGACGGNUGAGAGNGCGACGACGACGACGAGGGAGGAGG